UACGUAGGGAGCAAGCGUUGUCCGGAAUCAUUGGGCGUAAAGCGCGCGUAGGUGGACUCAUAAGUCCGCUGUGAAAGUCCAAGGCUCAACCUUGGAAAGCCGGUGGAUACUGUGAGGCUAGAGUACGGAAGAGGCGAGUGGAAUUCCUGGUGUAGCGGUGGAAUGCGCAGAUAUCAGGAGGAACACCAAUAGCGAAGGCAGCUCGCUGGGACGUUACUGACACUGAGGCGCGAAAGCGUGGGGAGCGAACAGG
rnacentral:rRNA from 1 species